AUUGAACGCUGGCGGCAUGCCUUACGCAUGCAAGUCGAACGGCAGCACGGGUGCUUGCACCUGGUGGCGAGUGGCGAACGGGUGAGUAAUACAUCGGAACAUGUCCUGUAGUGGGGGAUAGCCCGGCGAAAGCCGGAUUAAUACCGCAUACGAUCUACGGAUGAAAGCGGGGGACCUUCGGGCCUCGCGCUAUAGGGUUGGCCGAUGGCUGAUUAGCUAGUUGGUGGGGUAAAGGCCUACCAAGGCGACGAUCAGUAGCUGGUCUGAGAGGACGACCAGCCACACUGGGACUGAGACACGGCCCAGACUCCUACGGGAGGCAGCAGUGGGGAAUUUUGGACAAUGGGCGAAAGCCUGAUCCAGCAAUGCCGCGUGUGUGAAGAAGGCCUUCGGGUUGUAAAGCACUUUUGUCCGGAAAGAAAUCCUUGGCCCUAAUACGGUCGGGGGAUGACGGUACCGGAAGAAUAAGCACCGGCUAACUACGUG
rnacentral:rRNA from 1 species